CCUACGGGUGGCAGCAGUGGGGAAUAUUGCACAAUGGGGGAAACCCUGAUGCAGUGACGCCGCGUGAGCGAUGCAGUAUUUCGGUAUGUAAAGCUCUAUCAGCAGGGAAGAAAAUGACGGUACCUGACUAAGAAGCACCGGCUAACUACGUGCCAGCAGCCGCGGUAAUACGAAGGGGGCAAGCGUGAUCCGGAUUUACUGGGUGUAAGGGGAGCGUAGACGGCUGUGCAAGCCAGAUGUGAAAGCCCGGGGCUCAACCCCGGGACUGCAUAUGGAACUGUGUGGCUGGAGUGUCGGAGAGGCAGGCGGAAUUCCUAGUGUAGCGGUGAAAUGCGUAGAUAUUAGGAGGAACACCAGUGGCGAAGGCGGCCUGCUGGAUGAUGACUGACGUUGAGGCUCGAAAGCGUGGGGAGCAAACAGGAUUAGAUACCCUUGUAGUC
rnacentral:rRNA from 1 species